rnacentral:rRNA from 1 species
GAUGAACGCUGGCGGCGUGCCUAAUACAUGCAAGUCGAGCGAACGGACGAGAAGCUUGCUUCUCUGAUGUUAGCGGCGGACGGGUUAGUAACACGUUGAUAACCUACCUAUAAGACUGGGAUAACUUCGGGAAACCGGAGCUAAUACCGGAUAAUAUUUUGAACCGCAUGGUUCAAAAGUGAAAGACGGUCUUGCUGUCACUUAUAGAUGGAUCCGCGCUGCAUUAGCUAGUUGGUAAGGUAACGGCUUACCAAGGCAACGAUGCAUAGCCGACCUGAGAGGGUGAUCGGCCACACUGGAACUGAGACACGGUCCAGACUCCUACGGGAGGCAGCAGUAGGGAAUCUUCCGCAAUGGGCGAAAGCCUGACGGAGCAACGCCGCGUGAGUGAUGAAGGUCUUCGGAUCGUAAAACUCUGUUAUUAGGGAAGAACAUAUGUGUAAGUAACUGUGCACAUCUUGACGGUACCUAAUCAGAAAGCCACGGCUAACUACGUG